UAAAUACUUCCUCUGUUCAGAAUUACUUGUCGCGGAAAUGGAUAUAUCUAGACGUAUUUUUAGUAUUAGAUACAUUAAUUUUUAUCCAUUUUUAAGACAAGUAGUUUGAGACGGAGGGAGUAUUCA
rnacentral:pre_miRNA from 1 species